UAUGCCCAUAUCAUGUUGAAACAACGCUUCUCGUACAAUCACCAAAGUUAAGCAAUGUCGGGCCGGAUUAAUACCUAGAUGGGUGACCAGUUGAGAAUACCAGGUGUCAU